rnacentral:tRNA from 1 species
GGAUAUAACUCAAUUGGCAAAGUGCUUGCCCUGCAUGCACAAGGCUCUGGGUUCAAUUCCCAGGACCA